CGGCGCCGCGCCGUUCCCCGGCUCCCGCGGCCCCGCCGCCCGUCUCACCGGCCCCUGGCAUGCGCGCCCGCCCGGGCCCGGGGCCGUGGCCGCCCCGCAGCGCAGGGCCGCGGGCGCGCUCGGGAGCGGGGGCCCCGCGCCGCUGAGCCCCGCCGCACCCGGCGCGCCAUGGAGGCGGUGGGCGACUUCGAGUACAGCAAGCGGGACCUCGUGGGACACGGGGCCUUCGCUGUGGUCUUCCGGGGGCGGCACCGCCAGAAAACGGACUGGGAGGUAGCUAUUAAAAGUAUUAAUAAAAAGAACUUGUCAAAAUCACAAAUACUGCUUGGGAAGGAAAUUAAAAUCUUAAAGGAACUUCAGCAUGAAAAUAUUGUAGCACUCUAUGACGUUCAGGAAUUACCCAAUUCUGUCUUUCUGGUGAUGGAGUAUUGCAAUGGUGGAGACCUCGCAGAUUAUUUGCAAGCUAAAGGAACUCUCAGUGAAGAUACUAUCAGAGUGUUUCUACAUCAGAUUGCAGCUGCCAUGAAAAUUCUACACAGCAAAGGAAUAAUCCAUAGGGAUCUCAAACCACAGAAUAUCUUGCUGUCUUAUGCUAAUCGCAGAAAGUCAAGUGUCAGUGGCAUUCGCAUCAAAAUAGCGGAUUUUGGGUUUGCUCGUUACCUACAUAGUAACAUGAUGGCUGCAACACUAUGUGGGUCCCCGAUGUACAUGGCUCCUGAAGUUAUUAUGUCUCAACAUUAUGAUGCUAAGGCAGAUUUAUGGAGCAUAGGAACAGUAAUAUAUCAAUGCCUAGUUGGAAAACCACCUUUUCAGGCCAAUAGUCCUCAAGAUUUAAGGAUGUUUUAUGAGAAAAAUAGAAGCCUGAUGCCUAGUAUACCCAGAGAAACAUCACCUUAUUUGACUAACCUCCUUUUGGGUUUGCUUCAGAGAAACCAAAAGGAUAGAAUGGAUUUUGAAGCGUUUUUUAGCCAUCCUUUUCUUGAGCAAGUUCCAGUAAAAAAAUCCUGUCCCGUCCCAGUGCCUGUGUCGGCUGGCUCUGUCUCCGGAAGCCCCUGUGGCAGCUCGCCAUCUUGUCGUUUUGCCUCUCCACCAUCCCUUCCAGAUAUGCAGCAUAUUCAGGAAGAAAACUUGUCCUCCCCACCAUUGGGUCCUCCUAACUAUCUCCAAGUAUCCAAAGAUUCUGCCAGUACUAGUAGCAAGAACUCUUCCUGUGAUACGGAUGACUUUGUUUUGGUUCCACACAACAUCUCGUCAGACCACUCAUAUGAUUUGCCAAUGGGGACUGCUGGCAGACGGGCUUCCAAUGAGUUUUUGGUGUAUGGAGGGCAAUGCCAGCCUUCCAUGUCACCUUACAGUGAGGCAGCACCAGUUCCAGUUCCCACUCAGAUAAGAAAUUACCAGCGAAUAGAGCAAAAUCUGGCAUCUACUGCCAGCUCGGGCACAAAUAUACAUGGUUCUCCAAGAUCUGCAGUGGUGCGAAGGUCUAACACCAGCCCUCUGGGCUUUCUCCGGCUGGGCGCCUGCUCUCCUGCACCAGCAGACACUCUCCAGACUGUCGGGCGGAGACUCUCCACGGGCUCCUCCAGGCCUUACUCACCUUCUCCUCUGGUUGGUACCAUUCCUGAACAAUUCACUCAGUGUUGCUGUGGGCAUCCUCAGGGCCAUGAAUCCAGGAGUAGAAACUCAUCAGGUUCUCCGGUGCCUCAGGCCCCGUCACCGCAGUCUCACUUACUGGGUGCUAGGCUGCAGAGCGCCCCCACCCUCACUGACAUCUACCAGAACAAGCAGAAGCUGAGGAAGCAGCAUUCGGACCCCGUGUGCCCAUCCCACGCUGGGGCUGGCUACAGCUGCUCACCUCAGCCCAGCCGGCCUGGCAGCCUGGGGACCUCCCCCACCAAACACCUGGGGUCCUCUCCACGGAGUUCUGACUGGUUCUUUAAGACUCCUUUGCCAACAAUCAUAGGCUCUCCAACUAAGACUACAGCUCCUUUCAAAAUCCCUAAAACGCAGGCAUCUUCCAACCUACUAGCCUUGGCUACUCGGCACGGACCUUCUGAAGGACAGUCUAAAGAUGGGAGUGACCUCCAGGAGUGCUCUCAUUGUCUCCUAGUGCAAGGAGGCGAGAGGCAGAAGUCUGAGCAGCAGAAUAAGGCGGUCUUUGGCAGAUCUGUUAGUACCGGGAAAUUAUCAGAUCAACAGGUAAAGGGCCCUUUAGGACAUCAGAGCAGCACUGACAGUUUAAAUACAGAACGACCGAUGGAUAUAGCCCCUGCAGGAGUCUGUGGUGUUGUGCUGGCACCUCCUGUAGGAGCUGGAGCGAGUUCCCGGGCGGUUUUGUUCACUGUCGGAUCUCCUCCACACUGUGCCACGGGCCCAGCUUGUGCUCAUAUGGUCCUUCGAACAAGAACAACCUCAGUGGGCUCCUGUGGUUCUGGAGGCUCCCUGUGCUCUGCCAGUGGCCGUGUGUGUGUGGGCUCCCCACCUGCACCAUGCUUGGGGUCUUCUCCUGGAGCAGAGGCAGCUCCUGGUCUAAGAUACAUGCCUUAUGGUGCUUCCCCCCCCAGCCUUGAGGGGCUCAUCACCUUUGAAGCCCCUGAACUGCCAGAGGAGACACUCAUGGAGCGGGAGCAUACGGACACUUUGCGCCACCUGAACGUGAUGCUGACCUUCACCGAGUGCGUGCUGGACCUGACAGCCGUGCGGGGCGGGAACCCGGAGUUGUGUGCGUCCGCAGUCUCCCUGUACCAGAUUCAGGAGAGUGUGGUCGUGGACCAAAUCAGCCAGCUGAGCAAAGACUGGGGUCGCGUGGAGCAGCUGGUGUUGUACAUGAAAGCGGCACAGCUGCUGGCAGCAUCUCUGCAUCUCGCCAAAGCCCAGAUCAAGUCCGGUAAACUGAGCCCAUCCACGGCUGUGAAACAAGUUGUCAAAAAUUUGAAUGAAAGAUAUAAAUUCUGCAUCACCAUGUGCAAGAAACUUACAGAAAAGCUGAAUCGCUUCUUCUCUGAUAAGCAGAGGUUUAUUGAUGAAAUCAACAGUGUAACUGCAGAAAAGCUCAUCUACAAUUGUGCUGUAGAAAUGGUUCAGUCUGCAGCCCUGGAUGAGAUGUUUCAGCACACGGAAGAUACUGUUCACCGCUACCGCAGGGCAGCCCUUCUGUUGGAAGGCCUGACCAAGAUCCUUCAGGACCCUGCAGAUAUUGAAAAUGUGCAUAAAUAUAAAUCUAGUAUUGAAAGAAGAUUGUCAGCCCUCUGCUACAGCACUUCCUCAGCUAUGUGAGCAACAGCAGGUGGUGUCCUAAGGACCACUGGUGCAGUGAGAGAUGAUUUGGCUGGCAAUAGAGGUCAUCACCCUGUCGUCAGAAAUGGCAGCUUCUUAACUGGUGACUACCAAAGAACAAGCUGUGAUUUCAGAAAGGAAAAACAAUCCUGAGCUACACACUUGUAGGGAAUCUGCCUUACUGGAGAAGUUACCCUUCCCUUUUCUCUUUGUAGAAGCCAAAACAAGAGUUUUCCAUUUGACUUCCAGCUUGAACUUGGUAUAUCUAUAUGUAUCUUAGAACUAGAACUAUCAGUGCAGUCGUCAUAAGGACAGUUAGAGUGAAGCAUAUUAAGUGACUCCGCAUUCAGAUCACCAGAGCAAUAUGUGAAAUUCCACGUUGUUUGUUGAAGGUUAGGAAAAACAAAAAUCUAUGUCUCAGAAAACAAGACAAAAAAGAACAACAGCAACAAAAAAAAUGUAUGUCUCAUCCAGGCAAAUUAACAUUUGGGGACAUGGGCAGCCCUCUCAGCCUGUGGUGUGUUUCCUCAGUCCCGGCGGUUCACCAAAUAGCUGGUCAUGGAGAAUGUGGGCAGUUGUCGUCCCUCCAGAAAUAGUUUCUUCACUGGUAUACUAUUUGAUUUCUUUUACUUACCUGCUUGAAUACUUGAAUAAACCAUUCUCCAGUUUUAAUUUUUUUAAUUUUAAUCCUUUUGGAUACUAAAAUCUGAACUCUGACAAAUUACACAAAACUUGUUAACAUUGAUCUAAUUUUAGUGUACUUAUAAACACGAACAAAAAGUUUUGCUUUACUUUAAUAAUAUUAUGUAAUUUUUACCUUAUUUAUCUGUAUGAAAUUCCAGCAGUUAAUUUGAGCAUUUAUUUAUAUGAUGUUUGUAUUUUUAGGUCUUUAAUACAGUGUUUCUACCUCUCAUUUGUAACUGCAUGCAUUAUUCUUGAAACUAGGUAAAACUCACCAAAUCAUUGUGUAAUAAUAGCUUUUUUAUUAUUGCCUGUACAGCUGUAUAUUAAGAUAAAAAUGAAACUGACACAGUGUUUUUAGGGUGCAGCUAGGUCCAUGCUAGAUGACCAGGAUGGCCAGGUCCUUCCUCAGUUGAGUUUGGAGGCGUGGCCGUUAGCACCCUUUGUCCUAGCCCAGGGAUUUUGAUUCUUGGUGACUGUCAUGCAGGCUGCCAGGAAUAUAGAUUGUGGUGUUGAUUCCUACCCUUUCUAGGCAAGGUUUAUAAGCACUGUUAUUAGUGACGUCUGUUUUUUAUAAUUUUUUCCCUGCGUUCACAGGGCAGUUUCAUUUGAGUUCUCUGUAUCUCCCAUUUUAUCUCAGUUCACUGCAGGAAUGAGUUUCUGGGUGCCCUCCUACCCUACGCUUCCCUCCCUACCCUCUCACCUCUAGACAGGAUGAGGCAGGUUGCUCACAGUGGGAGUGUGAUUGGCCUGAAAUCAGGUGACCAGGCACGUGGUUAUAACCAUACCAUACGUUGCGACUCCUACACCCAUUCUCCUUUCUCUGUCAUAAGCAAGGUCUGUGGUGGAUGGUGUGUGUGAAACAGGUCUGACAGCAGAGAAUGACAAACUGUAAAUUCAUGAAUUCUGAUUAUACUUCCAUUAUCAAGGCCAAUUGUUUUAAGAAGUUUUUGCCUUGAUUAUAGCAAUAAUAAACAAAUGCUUUAUGUUUCUGUGA